CGACACGACCGUACCGCAAACCGACACUGGUGCGCGAGAUGAGUAUUCUAAGGCGCUUGAGAGAACUCAGGAGAAGGAACUCGGCAAAUUGACACCGUAACUUCGGAAGAAGGUGUGCCCUAGUAUUGUGAAGUGAACAACGGAGCAAGAAAGGGUUGCAAAAAAUCGGUGGCUGCGACUGUUUAUUAAAAACACAGCACUCUGCAAACACGAAAGUGGACGUAUAGGGUGUGACGCCUGCCCGGUGCUGGAAGAUUAAAUGAUGGGGUGCAAGCUCUUGAUUGAAGUCCCAGUAAACGGCGGCCGUAACAAUAACGGUCCUAAGGUAGCGAAAUUCCUUGUCGGGUAAGUUCCGACCUGCACGAAUGGCGUAACGAUGGCCACACUGUCUCCUCCUGAGACUCAGCGAAGUUGAAAUGUUUGUGAUGAUGCAAUCUCCCCGCGGAAAGACGGAAAGACCCCAUGAACCUUUACUGUAGCUUUGUAUUGGACUUUGAACAGAUCUGUGUAGGAUAGGUGGGAGGCUUUGAAGCAGGGUCGCUAGAUCUUGUGGAGCCAACGUUGAAAUACCACCCUGGUGUGUUUGAGGUUCUAACCUAGGUCCAUUAUCUGGAUCGGGGACAGUGCAUGGUAGGCAGUUUGACUGGGGCGGUCUCCUCCCAAAGCGUAACGGAGGAGUUCGAAGGUACGCUAGUUACGGUCGGACAUCGUGACGAUAGUGCAAUGGCAUAAGCGUGCUUAACUGCGAGACUGACAAGUCGAGCAGAUGCGAAAGCAGGACAUAGUGAUCCGGUGGUUCUGUAUGGAAGGGCCAUCGCUCAACGGAUAAAAGGUACUCUGGGGAUAACAGGCUGAUACCGCCCAAGAGUUCAUAUCGACGGCGGUGUUUGGCACCUCGAUGUCGGCUCAUCUCAUCCUGGGGCUGUAGCCGGUCCCAAGGGUAUGGCUGUUCGCCAUUUAAAGAGGUACGUGAGCUGGGUUUAAAACGUCGUGAGACAGUUUGGUCCCUAUCUUCCGUGGGCGCUGCAGAUUUGAGGAAGCCUGCUCCUAGUACGAGAGGACCGGAGUGGACACACCUCUGGUGUAUCGGUUGUCACGCCAGUGGCAUUGCCGAGUAGCUAUGUGUGGAAGAGAUAACCGCUGAAAGCAUCUAAGCGGGAAACUCGUUUCAAGAUGAGAUCUGCCGGGGCCUUGAGCCCCCUAAAGAGUCGUUCAAGACCAGGACGUUGAUAGGUCAGGUGUGGAAGCG
rnacentral:rRNA from 1 species